rnacentral:rRNA from 1 species
AGUGAACGCUGGCGGCAGGCCUAACACAUGCAAGUCGAGCGGCAGCGGGUCCUUCGGGAUGCCGGCGAGCGGCGGACGGGUGAGGAAUGCAUCGGAAUCUGCCUCUAUGUGGGGGAUAACGUAGGGAAACUUACGCUAAUACCGCAUACGACCUACGGGUGAAAGCCGGGGACCUUCGGGCCUGGCGCAGAGAGAUGAGCCGAUGCCGGAUUAGCUAGUUGGCGGGGUAAAGGCCCACCAAGGCGACGAUCCGUAGCUGGUCUGAGAGGAUGAUCAGCCACACUGGAACUGAGACACGGUCCAGACUCCUACGGGAGGCAGCAGUGGGGAAUAUUGGACAAUGGGCGCAAGCCUGAUCCAGCCAUGCCGCGUGAGUGAAGAAGGCCUUCGGGUUGUAAAGCUCUUUUGUUGGGGAAGAAAAGCUACCGGUUAAUACCCGGGAGUCCUGACGGUACCCAAAGAAUAAGCACCGGCUAACUUCGUGCCAGCCGCCGCAGUAAGAC